GAUGCUAUGGCUUCAAUCUCCUGCAAAUGGGAAGAGUUUAGUUCAUCCUCAGGAACCUCAGCCAUGGUCAAGAAUCAAACCAUUUAUUCUCCAAGUGGGCUGGCAAUAGCACCCACCAGCUUAUGUGUGUUACCCUGCUGUUGAGUCUUCUACCUGACCAAAAGCAGCUCCAGCCAACACCACUGAACUAACUUUACAGCUUGCUGUCACUCAGCAGAGAUCGUCAGAGAAGAGCCUGUGAGAUGACUCAGUGGGUGAAGGCUUUGCUGCAGGCCCGACCAGACCUCUGUGAAGGUGUUAGAACCAACUCUGUCACAGUUUCCUGUCACCACCACAUGUGUGCUGAGAUCCAUGUGCGCCCCCUGCUUACAUCGUACACAGAAUAAUAAUAAAUAGAAAAGAAACACAUCAUUGAAGACAACAGGAAGCGGCAGGGAGUGUUGCCUGAAUCCUGAAGUGUCGAGACUGCCUGUGAGGAGCCUCUGAGAUGGCUGUUUGGAGUGUGUUGCAUCCAGACUCUACACCAAGUGCAGUUUUACUGUUCUCCUCAUGUGCACCAGCCAGAGGAACGCCUCACCCCGCUCUUCUGACAGCAGAGGGCAGGAUGCUUAGGAGGUAGGCUUGCUGGAGUUGCAUGGAAAAUGACGGUGUCCCUCGGAGGCCUGUGUACCAGCCUUGUCAUAAACAGCCUCCUCAGAAAGGCACCUGGAACCUUACUUCUAGGUUUCUGUUUAGGGUGGGGUUUACUCACUCUGCCUUCAGAUAACCCUGGCUUUCAUCUUGUAAUUUUUAGAAAGAAUGACUAACAGAUUGUCUUCAUAGUCAGAUGUUCCCUCUGUGUUCUUUGUAGCCAUUUCAACAUCUUUGUAUAAUUCUUUCAGAGCUCUUCAAGGCAGUGCCCACUUAUAGGGCUAUGGAUGGUGUGCCGGGCAUAGUGUUCAGUGAAUGUUGGAUGAGCUUUCUUGCAGUCUUUCUUGAUGAGGAUAGACAUAGACCAAAGAGGACUUGGUUUCAGCCUUUCAGAGUAGUUAUGAUUGUUAAAAUAAGAGGAAAACAAGUCAUGUUCCAAACCUGACUACAAAUGUCUUGUCUUAGGAUUGCAGAGGAGGAGACCAAGAAUACAAUGGUUCAGUGGUUAAGAGCACUUGCUGCUUGUGGUGGUUUGACAGAAAAUGGCCCCCAAAGGGAGUGGCAC